rfam:Ixodes scapularis strain Wikel colony gcontig_1107728903464, whole genome shotgun sequence.
GUCAGGAUGGCCGAGCGGUCUAAGGCGCCGCGUUCAGGUCGCAGUCCGGUCUUCCGGGCGUGGGUUCGAAUCCCACUUCUGACA